AGGUGCCGAGACUCGCCAAGGAAGCCGCCGCCAAGGCCAUCAAAGAGUGGGGCCGCGACAAGUCCGGCAUCACCCACUUGGUCUUCUGCUCCACCAGCGGCAUCGACAUGCCCGGCGCCGACUACCGCCUGGUCAAGCUCCUGGACCUCCCCCUAUCCGUCAACCGCAUCAUGCUCUACAACCAGGCCUGCCACAUCGGUGCCCAGAUGCUCCGCAUCGCCAAGGACAUCGCCGAGAACCACAAGGACGCCCGUGUGCUCGUGGUGGCCUGCGAGCUCAACACGCUCAUCUUCCGAGGCCCAGACGAGCGCGACUUCCUGAGCCUCGCAGGCCAAGCCGCAUUUGCGGAUGGAGCAGCAGCGGUCAUCGUCGGCGCGGAUCCAAUCCAAGGCGUCGAGAAGACCAUCUUCGAGAUGAUGUCUGCGGAACAAGUGACCGUACCCGACUGCGAAAAAGCCGUCGGAGGCCACCUCAAGGAGAUCGGUCUCACCUUCCAUUUCAUGAACCAGCUUCCCAUGCUCAUCUCCAACAACUUGGAGAACUGCCUCCUGGAGGCGUUCAAGCCAUUAGGCAUCACCGACUGGAACGAGGUCUUCUGGGUGUCACACCCGGGAAACUGGGGAAUCAUGGACGCCAUCGAGAAGAAGGUGGGGCUCAAGCAGGAGAAGCUCCGCUCGUCGAGGCAUGUGUUCGGUGAGUACGGGAACAUGAUGAGCGCCACGGUUCUCUUCGUGAUGGACGAUGUGAGGAAGCGGUCGGCGGCGGAGGGGCGGGCGACAACCGGCGAUGGGUUGGAGUGGGGAGUGCUCUGCGGCUUUGGACCGGGCCUCACCAUCGAGACCGUGGUGCUUCGCAGUGUGCCUCUUUAGAUUUCCCAGCAGAAACAGGACUUUUUAUGUACUGUAAAUAAAAAAAAAGGACCUCAAUUACGCUAAAAUGUGUGUGUUCUUAAAAUAAAAAUUAUAGCUCGUAAGUCGCUAGUUUUUUCUUUCGAUUUUUUUGUUAGUAUGUUCAUCGGGUUGCUCAUUACAAAUAAACCUCCACCAUCUAUCACACUACUGUAAUCGUUUUGAUCCAUGAUAUAUGAGUAAACUUGACCAGUUAUAUAUAUAUAUAUAUAUAUAUAUAUAUAUAUAUAUAUAUAAUUGUAAAUCUGUAUUGCUGAUUAUUAAUUAAUAUUUUUCACUAUAUUUAUCUUCCUGUAUUUACCAUCGGCAUGCUCCGUGAUAAAGGUUAUAAAAACGGGUCAAAGUCCUCCGACUACUAAACUAAACUGUGGCCUCUUAAUUAACAUUUUUAAUCUUUCAAAAACAAAUGAUCGUAUUACAAUUAUCGAUCUAUCUAUAUAGGCCUAAAAUAUAAGAAAAAUAUUAAUUAAUAAGAAAGAAAAUAAAAUAAAAUCAUGUCAACAUAUUAUUCUAUCCGAUCAUCUAAUGUUUUAGAAUUGUCCCAUCAAUUAGUUUUUCUUUUUUUGGGUAUAUGAUGGUCUUUCAUUAAGAUACAUUGUUGGUUCUUUAUUCUCUUUUCUUAUUUUUUUAUUAUUCAUUAUUAUCGAUCUAAGAAAUAAAAUCAUAUAUUAUAUAUCAGUUGAAUCCAUUCAUCAUCAACCCAAAACACUUUGGAUUGAUUCUUUUUCUUUAGAUGUCUAUAAAAUAUGAUUUGAUUUUCAUCAUAUAUAUAUAUAUAUAUUAAUGAGAAAAUAAAUAUAGUUAUCUAGUUAUUAACCACUCAAUAGAUGAUUUCUCUUGAUCGAUAAUACACUAAUGAUCAAUUAUCAUCCAACACAUAAUCAUCACAUUGAAGCUAUCAUUUAAGAAAAAUAUCUAAGUCACUUUUUAUUUGUCUGACCGCAUGAACCAAAGUCUAAGAUAGAUCGUUUGAGGUUCUCCUGCAUGUGAAUAAAAUGUCAAAAAGAAAAUAUUGGGAUAAGUAUAAAUUGUUUUAUCUGAGUUUAUAUAUAAAAGCUAAUCUCGAUAGUACAUCGAGAGCUCACUCUUUAAGAAAAACUUAUAUCUACCGAGCGAUCUCGAUCACUAACUUGAGUAUUGAAGAGAUCAGAUUGAGAAAUUUUCUUUGACAUUAAUCUUAGUAUAGAUAACAUUUCGAGAUCUCAACAUGAUUAUCUCAGAGCUACUUUAGAGCCACCUUAGUCACCAUCUCGAAUACGUCUACGUCCUUGAGUUUGGACUACGUUGAGUUAACUCAGACAUCAAUGAUGUUUCCCGUAACACCUCACUUGGUGAAAACGCUAGAGUUUAGCAACUUGUUAUAGACUUUUAUGAUAUUUUUUCUACCGUUUUAGCUAAUAUUUACGUGUCUAUGUAUCUAUCGAUAUAUUCGAUGGAGAUGUGGUGAAUCUAACUGUUCCUGGCUGUAAGAUGAGUACAGAGUACGUACUACUGUACAAUUCUUUUCUAUACGAGAAGAGGCCAAUCCUGGACGCGGAUCAUUGAUCAACCCAGGAAGCAUCCUCCUUUAUUCGCAUUGCUUUCCCACCAACUUUUUGUUUCUUUUACUUGGAACAUCUUGCUUUACUUUAUUCACAUUGCUUUCGUACUUUUUGUUUCUUUUCUUUCCAACAUUUUACUUCUUUUUUUUAAUUUAAUAUUUCCCUUUGCACUUAUCACAGGGCACUAACAAAUAACAGAUGGCCUGUUUGCACAUCGACUCCGGUGGAAACCACCGAGACUUCGGCGGUCCCAUCGGACACGCGUUGUUAGAGGAUCAAAAAGGAAUGAGAGCCAGAGGUCAGGCAUCUCCAAUCGGACAUCCCAACCAUGGAGUCCACAGCAAGAGCAUUUGGUCUGAUCUGGAAUCAGCAGACCCAAUCAAACGCGGGUUCCAGUUACAGCUCUUCACGAACGUCACCCAGCACGUACAAACCCUUUUUAUCUUCUCGAGAAGUCAAUAGUUCACGCAGGAAAUAGUUUGUCGAGUAAUCUUUUUCCAGGAUGCAUGCCGAACACGUCCAUUAGUUGACGUCAGGCAAGCAGUGACUAAAAAUUCCAUAGUUUUGGAAUCUGUAAGCAGGCCGGGAAUUGGAUGCCGAGGAGCUUCCCACAGAUUAUGCUUCUGGUCGUUUGGAUGGUGACGCAUCAUCGGCAAUGAGAUAGUGCAGUCGACAAAACUACACCACCGUUCAGCACCAGAGGGAGGGGAAGGUUGACGAUUUCCAUAACUUGAAAAUGUCAACAAAAGUUAGUCAAUUGUCAUGUGCUCCAUUCAACGUUUUGUCGGUCAACACUAAGACUUGGCUCCACCAACCCACUACAAUGAUUUGAAUCCAUGUUGCAUGAGAAGCUGCGCGACCAAACGCCGGGGCUUCCAUAUAAGAGGGUGGAGGAGGGGAGCCACUCCACACCCUGCAAGUUGCUAACUUUCACUUGUUGUUACCGCUGGUUCUCGUCCAAGUCCUAGAAUUGCGAAGAUGGUUAGCAUCGAUGCCUUCCGGAAGGCCCAAAGACCUCAAGGUCCGGCCACCAUCAUGGCCAUCGGGACGGCCAAUCCCCCCAACCUCUACGAGCAGAGCACUUUCCCGGACUUCUACUUCCGGGUCACCAACUCCGACCACAUGCCGGAACUCAAGGAAAAGUUCCGCCGCAUCUGUAAGUUUACAUCCGUGUGUGUGCUCGCGCUGCGAUUCUUCGUCUAAACAGUACUUGAGAAAAGCUAAUUCGCUCUGUUGCUCGCGCUGUUCACGAAGGUGGGAAGACCAUGAUCAAGAAGCGGUACAUGCACCUCACGGAGGAGGUCCUCAAGCAGAAACCCGGAAUGUGCUCUUACAUGGACCCCUCAUUCGACGAGCGCCAGGAAAUCGUCGUGGAGGAGGUGCCGAGGCUCGCCAAGGAAGCCGCCGCCAAGGCCAUCGAAGAGUGGGGCCGCGACAAGUCAGGCAUCACCCACUUGGUCUUCUGCUCCACCAGCGGCAUCGACAUGCCCGGCGCCGACUACCGCCUCGUCAAGCUCCUCGGCCUCCCCCUAUCCGUCAACCGCAUCAUGCUCUACAGCCAGGCCUGCCACAUCGGCGCCCAGAUACUCCGCAUCGCCAAGGAUAUCGCCGAGAACAACAAGGACGCCCGUGUGCUCGUGGUGGCCUGCGAGCUCAACACGCUCAUCUUCCGAGGCCCAGACGAGCGCGACUUCCUGAGCCUCGCAGGCCAAGCCGCAUUUGCGGAUGGAGCAGCAGCGGUCAUCGUCGGCGCGGAUCCAAUCCAAGGCGUCGAGAAGCCCAUCUUCGAGAUGAUGUCUGCGGCACAGGUGACGGUACCGGACUGCGAAAGGGCCGUCGGAGGCCAUCUCAAGGAGAUCGGUCUCACCUUCCAUUUCAUGAACCAGCUUCCCAUGCUCAUCUCCAACAACUUGGAGAACUGCCUCCUGGAGGCGUUCAAGCCAUUAGGCAUCACCGACUGGAACGAGGUCUUCUGGGUCUCCCACCCGGGGAACUGGGGAAUCAUGGACGCCAUCGAGAAGAAGGUGGGGCUCAAGCAGGAGAAGCUCCGGUCGUCGAGGCACGUGUUCGGUGAGUACGGGAACAUGAUGAGCGCCACGGUUCUCUUCGUGAUGGACGAUGUGAGGAGGCGGUCGGCGGCGGAGGGGCGGGCGACAACCGGCGAUGGGUUGGAGUGGGGAGUGCUCUUCGGCUUUGGACCGGGCCUCACCAUCGAGACCGUGGUGCUUCGCAGUGUGGCUAUCUAGAUUUCGCAGCAGAAACAGGAAUCCGGUGGACUUGUUCGUACCAUAUUAAGUGAAUUAUUUCCGUUUUAAUUCUUGCGGUGGAACUCCAUUUGGCUUCUAAGCUUAAAUAAAAAGCUGCACAGAGUUAACGUACAAAUUCUUGUUUGAUUAUUAUGUUCGUCUCGUUGCUCAACACCAAUGAACAUGUGGUUUUCAAUCUAAGAUGAUGAUUAUGAUAGAAUGAAGAAUGAAGUCGUAAAGUUUAAAAAGCAUGCAUCGAUUAAUUUGAUAUGAUAUCUAUUUAUACAUGUUGAAAGAGAGUAUUUUGCUUAAAAAUAUAAGAUUUUCUCAUGCAGUUGGAGAAAUCUUAUAUACUGUGCAGUUGAAGAAAUCUCUCUACUAUCAUAUUAAGCGUAUGAAUAAUUCGAACCUCACUCACUCUAAUUCUUUGAAGUUUAGUAUUGCUCACCUAUUAAUUGACAAUUUUAUUGCAUCCUACCUUUUCUACGAAUAUUUCCCUUGCGUACUUCUACAACUCAAUUUCUAGACUUAAACGAUGAUCUCUGCUAUAAACAUUUAGCAUCGGCAAAUGAAUAUACCAUUCGAUAUGUCAAUCCCUUAUCGUGGAAUGAACUGAACUCAGAACAUUGUCUAUCCCUUCGGAUGCUUGCUGACCUUUUCUCCGUGAGAGCAUACGGUUUGGCAUCUUCCUCUAUCAAAUCAUCUAACGAAGGCCGUGAGGUUCCUGCUCAUCUUCGCAGAGAGGUGACCGAAUUGGUCGCCGCAUCGCUUUCCCGAUGUCGCGGUUGGCCAGGGGAAGGUGAUGCACAUUUUCACUGCUCCAAGCUGGAAGGUUACGGUCCUCAUCGGGUGCCGUCGAAGCAUAAUUAAGAGAAGGAUACCCGAGAGAUGUUGAUGACUUCUUGUCAUCGGUGCAUAGCUUAUAAUUCUUCUUCAGUCUCGUGUUGUUGUCCUCUGCAACUUUUGUUGACCAUUCGUUUCUAGUCUUGAAGGUGGGAGCCGUCCUCGGUAGUUGGACGGGGCCGGCAUUGAGUUGAAAUUUCGACGAGCAUAUAUGAGCGACAUUUGUCAGUUGCAAUGAAAUUAUGCGCAUUGACUAUUUACGAGUCCCUCCGACCGACCGACCGUCGAUGCAAUUGCAAUGGAGCUGCACGCGGAAGACGGAUUAGGGUGCGGUCUUUCUAAAAGAGUCACGAAAAUAAUAACAAUGAUUGGGAUACUAGUAAAUUUCAUUCAGUUUUAACUGUCAAGUAUUUGAAUCUAUCCUAAAUUUAUUUCAUAUGAUAUCAUUUUUUAUUUAUAUUUGAUAAGAAAUAUAAAAUCAUCAGCUCAUCAUUCGUCACACCAAUAACAUGUCAGGUUAACACUCUUCAGUCCACCAAGAUAAAAGUCCAGAAGUUAACUUAGGUAAGUUAUUGAGUUAUUGAGAUCCUCAGGAGGUGUAAAAUAUUCAUAGGAAUAUUUUCGAUCGAUUAUGAAUUGGCUCUUUAGCGAAAUAUUCAUAUGAAUAUUUUUGAAAUAUUAGAAUGUAGUUUGAGUCAGUUACGAAUCGACUCUUCGACGAAAUAUUUAUAAGAAUAUUUUUGAAAACUUAAAAGGUAGUUCGAAUCAAUGAACUACCUUCCUAUAAUAUUCUUUCUCAUUAAGAUUAAUAUAAAAAUUUUUAAUUUUAUAUUAGAGAGGAGAAAUAGAAAAAGGUGAAACUCGGCUACUAACUUAAAGUAUCAAAACAAUCAACUUGGGUAACUCUCUGACCUCGAUCUUUGUACAAGAAAUGAGUCUAGAGAAAUCGAGCUCUACCUUGGUCGAUUCCUCGUAUAUGGAUUGGAGUCGUAUUGAUAUGAAUAUCAAUAAUAUUUUUCUUUUAUAAUAUUCUUUUCCAAUAAAUACCCUAGCAGAAGGGAAAACACAAAAACCCAAAUUUUGUUAGUAUUAUAAGAAUCACAAUGGAUGCCGAUGAGCUUUUCAUAUUCCAAAACGAAACCCGAUCUUCGUAUAUCUUUUUCUCCUAUUCAAUAAUAUUAACUCAACGUCGUUCUUAUUAAAAAAACACCCACGAAGUGCUCAAUAUCGAAUUAGUUUCAUCUUAUUAGACAUCGACUCGAAAGACAAUUGUACAGAAACUCCUCGACGACUAGUCCGCUACGCACCGCAGGCGAGUUCACAGCUGUAGACAACCCCACGCAGAUUUCAGUGAUCCAUUCGACGUCGAAGUAAGAAGCAUGGUGUUGAAGACGAAGUCCGUUUGCUCCAUCUAUUUGGUGAAUGCACGCAUCGCGAAGUCGAUAGGCCUUUCUCGCCUACUGACAAGGCAGUGCAUGCGUACGUCCAACGUAAGUAUAAUAUGUAUAUAUGUAUAUGUAUAUGAUCAAUAAUUAAAUGAAGGUUACGUAAAUCGUUUGGGAAUGCGUGCAAGCUGAUCUUGCCAAAAGCGGACAAGAUGAUGCAACAUGAGCACCUAUUCAAGGAACCAUCGGUAUUUCUGCCCAGCGGUUGGCGUGGGUCGGCCAUGUCCAUCACAUGUGCUAUAGAAGUUGCUAGGCAAGUCAAUGCCUACCCAGUCAACCACGCCCUACCGCGUCGUUCAUGUGACAUGGAAACGGGUAAGCGUACAUCAUCACAUACGUCCUUUCUUUCAUGCAUGGAUCAAAAACUGAGGGCAAACAAGAUCUUGAACAAUUCAUUCAUGCAUCCAACCAUUAAAUUCCUCCGUUAAGUGGGUGGGAAGAGACCGAGCGAUGGACUCGGAGCAGCAUCGAUCGAGUCAGCAAGCAUAGUCUUACUUUGUUUACAUUGCUUUCCUAUCUUUUAACUUUCUAUUUUGCUUUAGUCAAAUUGCUUUCCCACCUUUCUGUUUCCUCGCUUUCCGCUGGCAUCAGCGGUAAACCACAUGGAUGAUAUACGAGCCACGCGUCGUCCGUGUUCGAUUUGGACAUUGCAAUACACGGUUGUUUGUGAUUGGCUGCAGCUUUUACUUACCCAAAAUGAUACAGACUAGAACGAAAUCGCUCGGUCUCAUCUGGCGUAAUCAAACAUGGAGUCGAGUUCCUCCACCGUUCACAAACAUCGUCGAGCAAUCUUAAAAGCCUUUGGUCUCUCUCCGUUCUCAAAGAGCCAUUAGUCAUAGUCUCGGAACACUUGCUUUCAAUAGGAUGUUGUUUGACUAAUCAUCCAUAGUGGCGAAAUGUUGAAGAAAGUGGGGUUGGUGAAGAAACUGCCGCAGACUGUGUUGAUCAAGUUUUGGAUUGGUCAGAAUCAGCAAUAACCACGGUUGGUGGGUAGGCGAAUUCGAAACUCCCUCAGUCAAAUUAACUCUAAGCACGUGGGGAACCACCUACGGUCAACGUUUUCAUCGGUCAGCAGGAAGACUUGGCUCCACCAACCACCCUUUGCAUGAGAAGCUGCAAGGCAAAAACACACCAAGGGUAGCUGGCUGCUGAGGGCCUUCGUAUAAAUGGGCGGAGGAGAAGACCCACUCCUCCCAUCCUGCACUCUCUAACUUCACUGCUGCUUUGAUCCAUUCCUUCCUCGCUUGAUCUCCUUCUGGUGCUCGCUGCUCCUUCUCCUCCCAGAAUUGUGAAGAUGGCCAGCGUCCAUCCAUUCCGCAAGGCCCAAAGAGCACGAGGUCCGGCCACCAUCAUGGCCAUCGGGACGGCCAAUCCUCCCAACCUCUACGAGCAGAGCACUUUCCCCGACUUCUACUUUCGGGUCACCAACUCCGACCACAUGCCGGAACUCAAGGAAAAGUUCCGCCGCAUCUGUAAGUAUACAUCUGUGUCUGCUGCGAUUCUCCGUCUAAAAAAGAGAGAAAAAGCUAACUUGCUCGCUCUGUGCGUGAAGGUGGGAAGACCAUGAUCAAGAAGCGGUACAUGCACCUCACGGAGGAGGUCCUCAAGGAUAAACCAGGGAUGUGCUCCUACAUGGACCCGUCUCUGGACGAGCGACAGGACAUCGUGGUGGAGGAGGUGCCGAGGCUCGCCAAGGAAGCCGCCGCCAAGGCCAUCGAAGAGUGGGGCCGCGACAAGUCCGACGUCACCCACUUGGUCUUCUGCUCCACCAGCGGCGUCGACAUGCCCGGCGCCGACUACCGCCUGGUCAAGCUCCUCGGCCUCCCCCUAUCGGUCAACCGCAUCAUGCUCUACAGCCAGGCCUGCCACAUCGGCGCCCAGAUGCUCCGCAUCGCCAAGGACAUCGCCGAGAACAACAAGGACGCCCGUGUGCUCGUGGUGGC
rnacentral:lncRNA from 1 species